CCUACGGGAGGCAGCAGUGGGGUAUCUUGCGCAAUGGGCGAAAGCCUGACGCAGCGACGCCGCGUGCGGGAUGAAGGCCUUCGGGUUGUAAACCGCUUUCAGCAGGGACGAAAUUGACGGUACCUGCAGAAGAAGGCCCGGCCAACUACGUGCCAGCAGCCGCGGUAAUACGUAGGGGGCUAGCGUUGUCCGGAUUUAUUGGGCGUAAAGAGCUCGUAGGCGGUUCGGUAAGUCGGAUGUGAAAUCUCCACGCUCAACGUGGAGGGGCCAUUCGAUACUGCCGUGACUCGAGUCCGGUAGGGGAGCGUGGAAUUCCCGGUGUAGCGGUGAAAUGCGCAGAGAUCGGGAGGAACACCCGUAGCGAAGGCGGCGCUCUGGGCCGGUACUGACGCUGAGGAGCGAAAGCGUGGGGAGCAAACAGGAUUAGAUACCCUGGUAGUCCACGCCGUAAACGUUGGGCACUAGGUGUGGGACUCUAUCGACGGGUUCCGUGCCGUAGCUAACGCAUUAAGUGCCCCGCCUGGGGAGUACGGCCGCAAGGCUAAAACUCAAAGGAAUUGACGG
rnacentral:rRNA from 1 species